rnacentral:rRNA from 1 species
GAUGAACGCUGGCGGCGUGCCUAACACAUGCAAGUCGAGCGAACGGACGAGAAGCUUGCUUCUCUGAUGUUAGCGGCGGACGGGUGAGUAACACGUGGAUAACCUACCUAUAAGACUGGGAUAACUUCGGGAAACCGGAGCUAAUACCGGAUAAUAUUUUGAACCGCAUGGUUCAAAAGUGAAAGACGGUCUUGCUGUCACUUAUAGAUGGAUCCGCGCUGCAUUAGCUAGUUGGUAAGGUAACGGCUUACCAAGGCAACGAUGCAUAGCCGACCUGAGAGGGUGAUCGGCCACACUGAAACUGAGACACGGUCCAGACUCCUACGGGAGGCAGCAGUAGGGAAUCUUCCGCAAUGGGCGAAAGCCUGACGGAGCAACGCCGCGUGAGUGAUGAAGGUCUUCGGAUCGUAAAACUCUGUUAUUAGGGAAGAACAUAUGUGUAAGUAACUGUGCACAUCUUGACGGUACCUAAUCAGAAAGCCACGGCUAACUACGUG